rnacentral:rRNA from 1 species
UACGGGGGGGGCAAGCGUUGUUCGGAAUUACUGGGCGUAAAGGGCUCGUAGGCGGCCAACUAAGUCAGACGUGAAAUCCCUCGGCUUAACCGGGGAACUGCGUCUGAUACUGGAUGGCUAGAGGUUGGGAGAGGGAUGCGGAAUUCCAGGUGUAGCGGUGAAAUGCGUAGAUAUCUGGAGGAAUACCGGUGGCGAAGGCGGCAUCCUGGACCGAGAUUGACGCUGAGGAGCGAAAGCUAGGGGAGCAAACGGG